GGAUUAGUGCGCUGGUCAUGCCUUCGGUAUGUACUGGUGUUACUGAUUUCUACCUUCUGAAGAACUGUAAUGCCAUUAAUUUGGUGUUGCAGGGAAUCAGGACUGUUACUUUGAAAAAAUUAGAGUGUUUAAAGCAGGCUUUAGCUUGAAUACAUUAGCAUGGAAUAAUGAAAUAGGACGUUUGAUCCUAUUUUGUUGGUUUCUAGGAUUGACGUA
rnacentral:rRNA from 1 species